rfam:Papilio machaon contig47385, whole genome shotgun sequence.
CUCCCUUCCGCCCUUCGUCUCGACUAACGCUGUUUCUAUAAGCAUCAGUCUUGUCGAAUGGUGGGUGGGCG